CCAAAAUCAGUAUACUGUAUGUUAUUAGUAUAAUUUAGCUGGACAGUGUAAGUUUAACCAUAACAUUUAUUUGCCCAAACAAAACCAUGUGUUUAUUCUUCCAGCUGUAGCUCAGGCUUUCUUGACGUGACAAAUGUGUAGAGCUUAGUGCUGUUUUUUAGGCAAAUGAAGUGCAUAAAUUCCGCUAUGUGACAUAUAGUAACUGGAAUUUGAUGAGCUGCCUCAUGUGUUUUUGUCUUUCCUUCAAUUUCCGAGAGAUGACAUGACCUCUGUUGAACCUGCUGGUCUAAUAAACGGCGCUGUCUGGUGUGUAGGACCCAGCGAAAAAGGGAAGCUCCCGGUGAUAACUGAGGAGAGAGAGAGAGAGAGAGAGAGAGAGAGAGAGAGAGAGAGAGAGAGAGAGAGAGAGAGAGAGACUCAUCCUCGUCUCCGGUGUCAAACUUGACAUCAGCCUCUGAGCCGAGAAUGGUAACUUGUGUCGGAACAGAAGCCCUCACAUGAGUGGCAUGCUUCAUGGAGUUAUGUACCUUGUUUUGCCCCCUCAACAGCUAACAUGGAUUCCAAAACCUUAAUACUUUUCCUUUUUCUCUUCACGUUUAUUUCCAGCGCAGAAUUCAUUAUUCAUCCGUCCAAUGAAGUUAACCUGUUGGACUCCAAAGCAAGCCAAGGGGAGCUGGGCUGGAUAUCAUCCCCAUCCCAUGGGGUGAGUGCUGCAGACCUAAUCCAUAUUUUUUUAGUGGAAAAGAAGAGAACAGAGAUUUCAUGCUGUGAGGAUAUUGUUGGGGAGCCAAAAUGUUGUGUGCCAUUUUUGGGGCAUUUAAUAUUUUGAGUUAAGUUUCAAAAAACGAAUAUGAUCAUUUAAUGUGAUUUUGUUUGGAUAAUUUUACAAAGUAUUUAGGGGUUUGACAAUAAAUGUAUAUACACUAACAUCAAUUAUAGUUGAUAAACUGAUAAAGUUAGAAUUACUAAUUACUAAUUAUUGAUUUUAAAUACUAAAUGAUUACUUUUUUAGUGUUUUGUAAAAUGGUCUUUUAUACUCACCAAAGCUGCAUUUAUUUUAAUCGAAAAAUACAGUAAAAACAAUAACAUUGUGAAAUACUGUUACAAUUUAAAAUAACUGUUUUCUAAUUGAAUAUAUUUUAAAAUGUAAUUUAUUCCUGUGAUGCAAAACUGAUUUUCAGCAUCAUUACUCCAGUCUUCAGUGUCACAUGAUCCUUCAGAAAUCAUUCUAAUAAAAACAAAAAGGUCAUUUGCAUUUUAUAUUAAGUGCUUUUUAAUGUAGAGUGCGUUUAUGGAAAAUUGAGUAAUUGCACUAAUUUGCUAGAUUAAUUUCUAAACGUACAUAAGUUCAACAGAGAAAGCAUCAUUAAUCUUUACAAUAGCCAUAAAGGUGAUUUAGAAUAAAAAAGGAAAUCCCUCGCAGAUACGCGCUGAAUGCUCUGGGAUUUAUUAAGUCAGCAUGCAGCCGUUGUCACGAUUACAGCGAAGAUCAGGUUCUCAAGGUGAAUUAACUCUAAUUACUCAGGACUUCUCCCUAGUUUGGAGCGAUAAGCAUUUUGCCCUGAAAGCUAUGCCCUCAAAAAAUGAUUUCAAAUAAUGUGCCGCCGCAGAGCGCUGACACUGACGGAUGGGCCGCCCGCCUUCUGCCAGUGUAAGCACAAAUCGGCCCGGUUAAAGCAAAUUAAGAGCUAAAGCCCAUCGGACGCUCCCUGUGCGGCCGCCCGCUCAGAUAAGGCCAGUAAAUAUAAACCGGCCCUGCGCACACAGCUCUUUAAACACGCAUCGCUGUUUAUUACAGCCUCUCCAAAUUGCAUCAGGCCUCAGCCUGGGAUUCAUUACCCAAGGCAGUCGGAUUACUCUGUCUGCGUGUGAACCGCUGCGAUCUGUUGCGCUGCUCUGAGGACUCGACGCAAUUGUUCUUCGAGUUGGUAAAGAGCGUCUUUGCUGUGGCGUCUGUGGAGAUGGCGAUUAGAGCUUGAUUGGUGGGUGUAGUUUUGGGGUUUGGAAUGCCUCGUUUUUCUAAAGCUGUUUUAGCUCAGGAACAGAACGAGAAGUGCAAAUGGAUCUUGAACACUGACUUGGCAAUGGCAUUGUUUUUAAUUCCGUUUAAGAUUUUUGAAUGAAUAACAGGAUUGAUCUGUCGCACUGGGAGUAUUGGUGGCUGGACUGGAUAGCAGGCCAGAAAUGUAAAUAUUCUCGGCUGCAAAUAUUUUUCAUUGUUUUAAAAUAAUUUUCUUUGGUUUGGAUGGCAGAACUAGAUUUUGAAGUAUGUAGAAAUAUCUAUUCAUACAGUGUAAAAAUCUAGAAUUUAGAAUUGAUUGGUUUGACAAAAAUGAUAUUUUAUGGUAUUAGUAGUCUUACUGUAUAUCAUAUUGGACUCAUCAUAUGUUUAUCAUGUAGUAAUUGCAGAAUAAAUAUUCAAUAAAAAUAUUUAGAGGAGAGUGAAAUAAAAAUUACAAAAUAUUUUUUUUAGGACUAAAGUUAACUGUGAAACUGUUUUAGAAACAAAACGUAUUGUAGAAAACACAAAAAGUAAUAUAUAUAUAUAUAUGUGUGUGUGUGUGUGUGUGUGUGUGUUGUUUUUACAAUAAAAAUAAUUUAGAGGAGAGUGAAAUAAAAAUAACAAAAUAAUUUUUUUAGGUACAAAGUUAACUGUGAAACUGUUUUGAAACAAAAACGUAAUUGUGAAAAACAACAAAAAGUAAAUAUAUAUAUAUAUAUGUGUGUGUGUGUGUGUGUGUGUGUGUGUUUUAUUUUUUUGUUAUAAAUUUUUAAUGUUUCUCUUCUGGUUUAUACAUCUAACCAUAUCUAACAGCAGUUAGGAAAAAAGAGACACUUUAUUAUAAAGUUUUUUGUUUUGUUUUUUUUCAGACAAUAUUAAACCAAUUUUGUUUGCUUCAGUACAGUAACAAAAUCUAUCUAUCUAUCUAUCUAUCUAUCUAUCUAUCUAUCUAUCGUAAACGUAAAACGUAAGUUAGUAGAAAACAACAAAAGUAAAUAUAUAUAUAUAUAUGUGUGUGUGUGUGUGUGUGUGUGUGUGUUUAUUUUUUGUUAUAAUUUUAAUGUUUCUCUUCUGGUUUAUACAUCUAACCAUAUCUAACAGCAGUUGGAAAAAGAGACACUUAUUAUAAAGUUUUUUGUUUGUUUUUUUUUCUAGUACAAUAUUAACCAAUUUGUUUGCUUCAGUACAGUACAAAAUCUAUCUAUCUAUCUAUCUAUCUAUCUAUCUAUCUAUCUAUCUAUCUAUCUAUCUAUCUAUCUAUCUGUUUAUAUGUAUAUAUAUUUUUUAAAAUAUAUAGUGUAAAAUAUAUAAUGUGACACUAUACACACAGAUAGAUAGAUAGAUAGAUAGAUAGAUAGAUAGAUAGAUAGAUAGAUAGAUAGAUAGAUAGAUAGAUAGAUAGAUAGAUAGAUAGAUAGGAUAAUUCAGCAAAUUAAAUGCUAAAAUUCUUAAUUUUUCUAUAUUAUUUGUAAUUCGAUGAAUGCAAAACUGUAGAUUAUUCAUAACAGCUGAAUAAGUCAUCUGUGCUGAGUUAAAAAUGAAAACUCAAAAGCAAUAAAAGUAAUAUUAAACAGAUUGUUUUGACUCAAACUUCAUCAGCAUUCAUUAAUAACCUACUUCCUCAUCUUAUUUUGGUCUCUAAAAAUCUGGAGUAGAAGCCAGAAGAUCUGCUGUGUCGUAGCAUAAUCGACUGAGACAAAACAGGCAGCAAACACAAAAUUUUCAUUAUGCGUUUCUGAAGUCACACUCCGCCAGCGCCUGCAGCGAAAGACAAUAUUUCCAACAUGAUGCUAAAACUCAUUUAGUUCCCCCCACCCCAACCCUAAAAGGAAACUGUGAAAGGUCUCCAGCUGUACAAAGUGCAAAGAAAACCCCCUCUAUAAAGGUGGAUUAGCACGUCAUAUGGCCUCAGCGGGGUGAGCGGCCAGCACACAAUGUGUUAUGGUUCCUCUGUAGUAAAAGCUGUGAUGAAAAGGUAUUGACUGAUAGGGUACAGUUGUCGUUGUGACCUAGUGCAAGAAAUCUUAGAUGGUGAAGUACUUGUCAUUUCUAGUGUUUCCUGCUGUAUUGUGGGAAUAGGGUGGGCUCACGGGCCUCACAUAUAAACAUAAGUCUUUUUCAGUUUUCUUUUUGGAGUGAUUUGUGUCUUCAAUUUAGUUUGGGAGGUUUGUAAUAUAAUAUGGAUAAGUUUAUGCUUCUUGAACGGUGUCGGUAAGCUGAUUUGAAACUGUAGCUUCUCAAAAUACAAGCUGCACAUAAAUUAAAGUAAUUUAGUAAGCUACACUGAAAUAGUUAGCAGCACAACAACCAAUCAACAAGUAGCUAUCUACACUAACUCUAUGUAGGGUGGCAAUAUAUUUGUUUAAUUAUGUCAGAUAAUAUAUUUCUGUCUUUCUUUCUUUCUUUCUUUCUUUCAAUCUUGUAAAAAGAAGUGUGCUUAAUUGUAUUGAAUAAGCAUUAGUAGUGUUCUUUAUCUCUUUAAAGUAUACUUUAGGAA
rnacentral:lncRNA from 1 species